GUACGCGAGCUGGGUUUAGAACGUCGUGAGACAGUUCGGUCCCUAUCUGCCGUGGGCGUUGGAGACUUGAGGGAAGCUGCUCCUAGUACGAGAGGACCGGAGUGGACGUACCCCUGGUGUUCCGGUUGUCACGCCAGUGGCAUUGCCGGGUAGCUAUGUACGGACGGGAUAACCGCUGAAAGCAUCUAAGCGGGAAGCCCCUCCCAAGAUGAGGUCUCCCUGGGCACUCGAUGCCCCUGAAGGUCCGUCGAAGACCACGACGUUGAUAGGCAGGAUGUGGAAGCGCGGUAACGUGUGAAGCUAACCUGUACUAAUUGACCGUGCGGCUUGACCAUAUAACACCCAAGUGCGUUGCAG
rnacentral:rRNA from 1 species